rnacentral:rRNA from 1 species
UACAGAGGUGGCAAGCGUUGUUCGGAAUUACUGGGCGUAAAGGGCGCGUAGGCGGUGCGGUAAGUCACUUGUGAAAUCUCUGAGCUUAACUCAGAACGGCCAAGUGAUACUGCAGUACUAGAGUGCAGAAGGGGCAAUCAGAAUUCUUGGUGUAGCGGUGAAAUGCGUAGAUAUCAAGAGGAAUACCUGAGGUGAAGACGGGUUGCUAGGCUGACACUGACGCUGAGGCGCGAAAGCCAGGGGAGCAAACGGG